GUUGCAUCGUUGUUGAUGACAUUCGUCCCAAGGUGAUGUGGUGUCAUGUUGCUUGUGUAUCUUAGUUUUAGCUUUCGAGCUUGAAACAUGUGGAUAAUCGRUUGGUGACAGACAUCACUCCCUUGGUUGAUGAAAGUCGUCCAAUGAUGUGGUGGUUUGUUUGUUUUGUUCUCSCAUCGUUCGGUSCAUUCUGUGGUCAUUCUGGCUGUUAGCGGCUUGCUUGGCAAUUGGGCUUGGUGGGUUGCUACUAGUUUGGGUGUCUUCGGGGAUGUUUUCCGUAAAGGUGCAUGAGUGGUGUUUGGUUUGUUACGGGUGGUUGGCUCUUUGCUUGCGCAACAACUUCCACCCGGCAUACCUCUUCAGUCUUGUGUCAAUGCUUGUAUUGCAUUGAAUGCAUGACGGGUUUCUUGUGUUGCAUGCCUAAUUAAUGGUAUCGUUUGAUGAAUUGGUUUCCUUUUUCGUCUUGCCUCGCCUACGCGAUGUGAGAUGAACCUUGAAGCAACCUUUGUGAUCCACACUUUUGAUGCAUACGCAUUUAUUUUGUGGCCCACUAAUUGUUGCUCGGUCUCAUGGAUAUGGAACCUGGUGUGGGCAUGGAAUCUUAAUGGUUCCUUGUUUGCCCAAGUUUAGCUUUUCUAAAMCGAUUGUCUAUCA
rnacentral:misc_RNA from 1 species